rnacentral:rRNA from 1 species
GAUGAACGCUGGCGGCGUGCUUAACACAUGCAAGUCGAACGAUGCACUUUAUUUGAUUUCCUUCGGGACUGAAGAUUUUGUGACUGAGUGGCGGACGGGUGAGUAACGCGUGGGUAACCUGCCUCAUACAGGGGGAUAACAGUUGGAAACGACUGCUAAUACCGCAUAAGCGCACAGUACCGCAUAGUAUAGUGUGAAAAACUCCGGUGGUAUGAGAUGGACCCGCGUCUGAUUAGCUAGUUGGUGGGGUAACGGCCUACCAAGGCGACGAUCAGUAGCCGACCUGAGAGGGUGACCGGCCACAUUGGGACUGAGACACGGCCCAAACUCCUACGGGAGCAGCAGUGGGGAAUAUUGCACAAUGGGCGAAAGCCUGAUGCAGCGACGCCGCGUUGA